UACAGAGGUGGCAAGCGUUGUUCGGAAUUACUGGGCGUAAAGGGCGCGUAGGCGGUUCGUUAAGUCCUGUGUGAAAUCCCCCGGCUCAACUGGGGAACUGCACAGGAAACUAGCGGGCUUGAGUUCGGGAGAGGGAAGCGGAAUUCCGGGUGUAGCGGUGAAAUGCGUAGAUAUCUGGAGGAACACCGGUGGCGAAGGCGGCAUCCUGGACCGACACUGACGCUGAGGCGCGAAAGCUAGGGUAGCAAACGGG
rnacentral:rRNA from 1 species